AUUGAACGCUGGCGGCAGGCCUAACACAUGCAAGUCGAGCGAGCGGCGGACGGGUGAGUAAUGUCUGGGAAACUGCCUGAUGGAGGGGGAUAACUACUGGAAACGGUAGCUAAUACCGCAUACCAUCGGAUGUGCCCAGAUGGGAUUAGCUAGUAGGUGGGGUAACGGCUCACCUAGGCGACGAUCCCUAGCUGGUCUGAGAGGAUGACCAGCCACACUGGAACUGAGACACGAUCCAGACUCCAACGGGGUGCAGCAGUGGGGAAUAUUGCACAAGGGGGGCAAGCCUGAUGCAGCCAGGCCGGGUGUAUGAAGAAGGCCUUCGGGUUGUAAAGUACUUUCAGCGGGGAGGCGUUACCCGCAGAAGAAGCACCGGCUAACUCCGUGCCAGCAGCCGCGGUAAUU
rnacentral:rRNA from 1 species